ACACACCAUUAUUUAAACAGCUUUUAGUUCAGUCACUGCACAAGAUGAAAUUUUAGUCCACCCACAACGCUUUUAGUUUCCUAUUCAUCAGACAGCACAUUUGGAGUGAGCCCUACGGACCUUCAGUUCAGAACGUAGAGUGCACUCAUAGUUUAUUGUUGUUUGCAGGCUGCAACAAACCUUUAAAUCAUUGUUUAUUGUUUGUGAAUUACAGCAGUUUUGUUUCUGUUGCAGCCAAAUAAAAUGUGUAAACAAUAAACGCUAGCAAGAACUAUGGUGUCAAAUCGUACUAUGGUGUCAAAUCGUACUAUGGUGUCAAAUCGUACUAUGGUGUCAAAUGUUCUUCUGAACCUGAAGAUGUCACUACAUUUUCCAAUCCAGUCAGUGAGAUCCUAACGCUGUCUAAGACAGUAAGUCCAGUCAGUGAGAUCCUAAUGCUGUCUAAGACAGUAAGUCCAGUUAGUGAGAUCUUAACGCUGUCUAAGACGGUAAGUCCAGUCAGUGAGAUCUUAACGCUGUCUAAGACGGUAAGUCCAGUCAGUGAGAUCUUAACGCUGUCUAAGACGGUAAGUCCAGUCAGUGAGAUCCUAACGCUGUCUAAGACGGCAAGUCCAGUCAGUGAGAUCCUAACGCUGUCUAAGACGGUAAGUCCAGCCAGUGAGAUCCUAACGCUGUCUAAGACGGUAAGUCCAGCCAGUGAGAUCCUAACGCUGUCUAAGACGGUAAGUCCAGCCAGUGAGAUCCUAACGCUGUCUAAGACGGUAAGUCCAGCCAGUGAGAUCCUAACGCUGUCUAAGACGGUAAGUCCAGCCAGUGAGAUCCUAACGCUGUCUAAGACGAUAAGUCCAGUCAGUGAGAUCCUAACGCUGUCUAAGACGGUAAAUCCAGCCAGUGAGAUCCUAAUGCUGUCUAAGACGGUAAGUCCAGCCAGUGAGAUCCUAACGCUGUCUAAGACGGUAAGUCCAGUCAGUGAGAUCCUAAUGCUGUCUAAGACAGUAAGUCCAGUCAGUGAGAUCCUAACGCUGUCUAAGACGGUAAGUCCAGCCAGUGAGAUCCUAAUGCUGUCUAAGACGGUAAGUCCAGCCAGUGAGAUCCUAACGCUGUCUAAGACGGUAAGUCCAGCCAGUGAGAUCCUAACGCUGUCUAAGACGAUAAGUCCAGUCAGUGAGAUCCUAACGCUGUCUAAGACGGUAAGUCCAGCCAGUGAGAUCCUAACGCUGUCUAAGACGGUAAGUCCAGCCAGUGAGAUCCUAACGCUGUCUAAGACGGUAAGUCCAGCCAGUGUGAACAAUUCUACACUCUUCUUUCACUCAUGAAAGUGUACAUAAACGUAUACUAAUUAUUUCCCUAAUUUAACGGAGCACAAACUACCCCGGAAAGGAAUGUGGGGUAUACAAGUGUACAAGGGAUGUAGAUAAUUAUACAUAAUUCCAUGUGCGUGUUUGCAAUUAUUACGCUAUAUAAAACAUAUGCUUGUAGCUUGUAUAUUGUGUAUUGAUUUUAUACCAUUUUCACCACAAUGUAAGUCAACAUCACUACUAAGACCUCAACACUGUUCUCUUGCAGUCUGUAAAUAAUCUAUGAUGAAAUAAAGCACUUUUGAUAUGU